AAAUUUAAAGAGCUACCCAUAUAUUAAAGAGGAUGGGAAGACUUUAAAGUCCACCUUCAUUGACAAGUCCUUGCUACAACCAGUUGUGAAAAAAUCAACUACAUGUAUACAUUCAUAAAAUAAUACUUAUUGUGAAUCUAGAGGAAGAAAAUAUGCAUACUUACCGUUGACCAGUUUUGUGGCAGGAAUACCUGAAAUCUUCGGUCCAAUCCUCAGUCCAAAAGUUGUUGAGCAAGAUACAUUUUGCGAGUCUUAAAGAAAAUAAGACUCAUCAUAACAAUGCAUAACCUAAUAAAUUUCCUAAACACUUGAACAAUGGAUAACCAAGUUUACCUUUAAAGUAUUCUUCGUAUAUAUGUAGACCUCAGCUUUUCAAACGCCUUUAUUAGUUUAACGAGUUCUGCAAGACUAAACGUCUGACAAGAAAUUUCAGUUGAUGAUAAAUGAGUAAUUAGCAACAGAGAUAGGAAUGUCAUGGAGAAUAAAGUCAGAGAAAAUCACUGCCGCCAAAGUUCUAAUAAGAAACCUAUUGUACCCAUAAAGAGAAGCAAUAUCAUCUUUAAGCUGGUCAACAUAAUCAGACAUGUGAACGCCUUCUACUAUCUAUAAUUAUAUCCGACACUCAUAUUCAAGAUUGGUAAAGACACUCAUAUUCAAGAUUGGUAAAGAAGUUGAUGUGAGCGUAUCUCGUACAAUUAAGUUGUAUAAGAUGCUAUUAUAAUAACCGAUUGUGACAAAUCUACAUUUUUUAAUCCGAAAUUCACUAAGAUUAACAAGUACUAAGUUUAGAGUCUAAUAUAAUAGCAUUUUUCAUCAUAACACAUGAUACAAAUCAUACUUGAAUAUCAACUUGAUGUACCCUUUGGUCAUCAUGUUAUAUUAUAACAAAUACAAUGCAUUUUAUGCUUAGGCAUCAAAAUAAAAAGGCAUACUUUAGAAUUUAUUUUUAGGC
rnacentral:sRNA from 1 species